UACGUAGGCAGCAAGCGUUGUUCGGAGUUACUGGGCGUAAAGAGUGUGUAGGCGGUUCUCUAAGUUUGGUGUGAAAUCUCCCGGCUUAACUGGGAGGGUGCGCCGAAAACUGGAGGGCUUGAGUAUGGGAGAGGAAAGCGGAAUUCCUGGUGUAGCGGUGAAAUGCAUAGAUAUCAGGAGGAACACCUGUGGUGUAGACGGCUUUCUGGACCAUCACUGACGCUGAGACACGAAAGCGUGGGGAGCAAACAGG
rnacentral:rRNA from 1 species